UACUGGGCGUAAAGCGCGCGUAGGCGGCUUGAUAAGCCGGUUGUGAAAGCCCCGGGCUCAACCUGGGAACGGCAUCCGGAACUGUCAGGCUAGAGUGCAGGAGAGGAAGGUAGAAUUCCCGGUGUAGCGGUGAAAUGCGUAGAGAUCGGGAGGAAUACCAGUGGCGAAGGCGGCCUUCUGGACUGACACUGACGCUGAGGUGCGAAAGCGUGGGUAGCAAACAGGAUUAGAUACCCUGGUAGUCCACGCCGUAAACGAUGUCGACUAGCCGUUGGGCUCCUUGAGAGCUUUGUGGCGCAGUUAACGCGAUAAGUCGACCGCCUGGGGAGUACGGCCGCAAGGUUAAAACUCAAAUGAAUUGACGGGGGCCCGCACAAGCGGUGGAGCAUGUGGUUUAAUUCGAUGCAACGCGAAGAACCUUACCUACCCUUGACAUCGAGAGAACUUUCCAGAGAUGGAUUGGUGCCUUCGGGAACUCUCAGACAGGUGCUGCAUGGCUGUCGUCAGCUCGUGUUGUGAAAUGUUGGGUUAAGUCCCGUAACGAGCGCAACCCUUGUCCCUAUUUGCCAGCGAUUCGGUCGGGAACUCUAGGGAGACUGCCGGUGACAAACCGGAGGAAGGUGGGGACGACGUCAAGUCAUCAUGGCCCUUACGGGUAGGGCUACACACGUGCUACAAUGGCCGGUACAAUGGGUUGCGAAUCCGCGAGGUGGAGCUAAUCCCAUAAAGCCGGUCUCAGUCCGGAUCGGAGUCUGCAACU
rnacentral:rRNA from 1 species